AGCUCCAAUAGCGUAUAUUAAAGUUGUUGCAGUUAAAAAGCUCGUAGUUGGAUCUCGGGUCCAGGCUGACGGUCCGUUUCGCGACGGUACUGUCAGCGCCUGACCUACCUCCCAGUGUUCUGCUCCUAGUGCUCUUCGCUGAGUGCUUCGAGCGGCUGGAACGUUUACUUUGAAAAAAUUAGAGUGCUCAAAGCAGGCUGCUGCCUGAAUAACCGCGCAUGGAAUAAUGGAAUAGGACCUCGGUUCUAUUUUGUUGGUUUUCGGAACUUGAGGUAAUGAUUAAGAGGGACAGACGGGGGCAUUCGUAUUACGGUGUUAGAGGUGAAAUUCUUGGAUCGCCGUAAGACGAACUACUGCGAAAGCAUUUGCCAAGAAUGUUUUCA
rnacentral:rRNA from 1 species